UAACCUGCCCAAGUGAUCGGGAUAACACCUGGAAACAGAUGCUAAUACCGGAUAAUAACAGAUGAUGCCUAUCAACUGUUUAAAAGAUGGUUCUGCUAUCACUCUUGGAUGGACCUGCGGUGCAUUAGCUAGUUGGUAGGGUAACGGCCUACCAAGGCGAUGAUGCAUAGCCGAGUUGAGAGACUGAUCGGCCACAUUGGGACUGAGACACGGCCCAAACUCCUACGGGAGGCAGCAGCG
rnacentral:rRNA from 1 species